GGAUUGCAAAGUACCAAGAAUUGCAAAGACAAAACACAAGACUGCAAGGAAAUAUUAUUAUUGUGAUAGGCUAUUUGAACAAAAGCCAUUCAUUUCCCUGUUAUCUGAUCUCAUGUCCCCCUGCCUUCAGACAGGCAUCUGUAGAAAAAUUUAAGUAGCACAGGCUCCAGCCAAAGGAAUGAAGUUCUAAUGUAUAAUUAUUUCAGUACAAUCCAGCUAGAGAGAUACCAGAAAUUAGCAAGAGAAUAACUCUUAUGUAGUAGAAAUAAAUUGGAAUUCCAACAUUUACUACCUGUGUGACCUUGGGCAAGUCACUUAACCUCUCUGAGUAAAUCCAGAUCUGCGAAUUAGAAAUGAUGGCUCCCAGUUCAGCUUUUUUCAUGAGAAAUUGUGAAGCUGAAAGAAGACAAAUGUGAAACACUUUAUAAAUUGUAAUAUGCCACAUAAAGGUAAAAGUAACCAUAAUUUUCUGAGUGACAAAAGCAAAACAUACCACGGUGGGGAAAAAAAUAGCAAAUAUCGGACCUACGACUUACUCAAUCUUCCACAAGCAAGCUGUUACUGCCCAGAUUGACUUAUAGUCAAGUCAAAGUUAAGAUGGGUUUGUGAGAGAUUUAUUUGUGUCUUUGUUACUAUUCUUCAGGUCCAGAAUGGCUAGAAUCAAAAAGACAAGAAAUAAUAAUUGUUGUCCAGGAUGCAGAGAAAAAAGGAAUCCUCGUACACUGUUGGUGGGAAUGUAAAUUGGUGCAUCUGCCAUGGAAAACGAUAAGAUAUGGAAGGAACCCAAGUGUCCAUCAAGAGAUGAACGGAUAGGGGCGCCUGGGUGGCUCAGUUGCGAAGCGUCUGCCUUCGGCUCAGGUCAUGAUCUCAGGUUCCUGGGAUCGAGCCCCACAUCGGGCUCCCUGCUCAGCGGGAAGCCUGCUUCUCCCUCUCCCACUCCCCCUGCUUGUGUUCCUUCUCUCGCUAUGUCUCUCUCUGUCAAAUAAAUAAAAUCUUUAAAAAAAAAAAAAGAGAUGAACGGAUAAAGAUGUGAUACACACACACACACACACAAUGGAUUAUUACUCAGCCAUAAAAAGGAGGAAAUCUUGCCAACAUGGAUGGACCUAGAGGGUAUUAUGCUAAGAGAAAUAAGUCAGAAAGAGAAAGACAAAAACCAUAUGAUUUCACUUAUAUGUGGAAUCUAAAAAACAAAACAAAUGAAUAAACAAAAAAGUAGAAACAGACCCAUAAAUACAGAAAAUAAUUUUGAUGGUUGCCAACUGAAGGUGGGGUGGAGAGGUGAGCAAAUUGGUGAAGGGGGAUGGGAGGUACGGGUUAGAAUGAAUGAAUCACAGGAUAAGGUACAGCAUAGGAAAUAUAGUCAAUGGUAUUAUAAUAGUGCUGUAUAAUGACAGAUGGUAUAUACUUCAAUAAAAAACUAUUCAUUGUUUAUCUGAAAUUCAAAUUUAAUUGUUCAUCCUGUAUUUUAUCUGACAACCUACCACUCAGCCAUGUCACAGCAUUAAAUUCUUUUCAACACAACCAGGCAGUCAGUAUAAAUCAACUGGAGUUGACAUGUUAGUUGAUGUCCAUUUGACAUCUUAUAAUGGAGCUUAACUGGAGGGGUGCAAAUGUUGCCAAAGAGAUCAUGCUUGUCUCCAAUAUUUGCAUUUCUGAGUGUUUGGAUGCUUGCUGGGGUCUCUCAGGAUCUCCUCCACACGUGACCAGGAACACUGCUGUUAUGCCAAAGGAAUGGCGUGGGUCAUUCUCUAUAGCUCUCAUCAAUGUGGGUCCACCUCACCACCUCUCCCAUAAAUUCCUCAGAUGUUACAGAAUGUCAGUAGUGCCCUUCUCUAGUUUCCAAAGGACAUGCAAAUUUAUAUUAAUUAUUUCAAAGGGAUUUGGGGAAAAAGACUCUUAAAUGACUGUGAUAUACUCAUCUUACCACCUAACCUGGAGAGUCAGAAUAAUUUUCUCGAUCUGAAGCAAAACAAAUUUUUGUACAUGGUCAGUGGGCAUAUUCCACCAUGAACUUUAAUAAUCAUGUACACCUAGUUGUGAUACUUAUCCAUAAAGUGGCCAAUAUUUUCAUGAAUUGAUUGUUCUGGUUGUAAAAACAGAGCCUUUUUAGAAAAAGUAAUCUUGAAAGAAAUUCCCUCUUGCUCCCUAGUUUGAGUGUGGAGCAAUAUGCAGACAGUAAGACUUGUUAAUUGAAUAGUGUAAAAUAUAACCCUUUAACAUGAUGAAUGAAACCUUGGAAAUUUCACAUUAAGAUAAUUUCUUAUUUCAACACACACUGACCAAACUUUAAAUGAGAAUCCAUUGAGAAUGAAAUCAAAGCAUUAAACAGCAUGUCCAAAAUGAUCAUAGGUGGCCUCUCUCCUUCUCUGCCUUUAUUUCUUCCUCUCCGUGGGUGACAUAUAAUAGAAGAACAACAUUCUGUAGCAUUAAACCAGAUUGCAGCCUCACUGUUAUAAUCAUAUGCACAUCAACAAUUCAUGUCACAUUCUUGCUUAACUCAUGGAGAUUAUAAGGAAAACAUUCCUCUGGAGAAUUUAACUUGUGGCUCAACUUUUAUGGAUAGGUCUGACGUUAUUCUGAUGUUCCUCCCUCUGUAUGUAAGGAAUCUCUUCCACCUAAGUGCCCUUAAGAUGGUUUCCUUGGUUCUAAGAUUUGCAAGUUUUACUAUUACAUGCCGGGGUGUUGGCCUGUUUUCCUUGAUCUUGGGAGGGGUCCUCUCUGCCUCUAGGACACAAAUGUUUGUUUCAUUCCCCAGAUAUGAUUUGCUGGACCCUUCAUUCUAGAAAAAGAGGAUUUAGGUCUAGGUAUUCAGGAUUAAUGCCUUCAUUUGGAAUUUUCGGUAAAUACUAAGGCCCCUGGCCAAAUCUAUCAUGAUGCUCUAAAUACAAUAGGAGACUACAAGUUUGAUUCAUUUGCAGUUCAAAAAGUAUGUUGAUAAUGCCCAACUGUUCUUGCAGUAAGAAGAUUAAUUUCCUUUUUAUUUAAUUGAGGUAUAAUUGACCCAUGAUAUUACGUUAGUUUCAAGUGUACAACAUAGUGACUCAACAAAUCUAUACAGUGUGUUAUGUUCACUACAAGUGUAGCUACCAUCUGUCACCAUGCAAUAUCACAAUACCGUGGACCAUAGUCCCCAUACUGUACCUUUUAUUCCCAUGACUUACGCAUUCCAUAACUGGAAGCCUGUUCCUCCCACUCCCCUUCACCCAUUUUGCCCAUCCCUCUGGCAACCACCAGUUUGUUCUCUGUAUUUAAGAGUAUGCUUCUGUUUAUUUUUAGAAGGUUACUUUUCUUUUUAUUUUAAGUUUUAUAUGUAAUGCAUAAUCAAAGUAAAAAUCAAAAAGUAUAAAAUGAUAUAAAGAAAAUUGAAAAAAUACCUUUAAUUCCCACACUAUAAGAUAAACUUGACCAUUAUGUUGGUAUAUC